GAUGAACGCUGGCGGCGUGCCUAAUACAUGCAAGUCGAGCGAACAGACGAGGAGCUUGCUCCUCUGACGUUAGCGGCGGACGGGUGAGUAACACGUGGAUAACCUACCUAUAAGACUGGGAUAACUUCGGGAAACCGGAGCUAAUACCGGAUAAUAUAUUGAACCGCAUGGUUCAAUAGUGAAAGACGGUUUUGCUGUCACAUAUAGAUGGAUCCGCGCCGCAUUAGCUAGUUGGUAAGGUAACGGCUUACCAAGGCAACGAUGCGUAGCCGACCUGAGAGGGUGGCCGCCCACACUAGAACGAAGACCGGCCCGAGACCACAGGGGGGGGGAGAAGGGGGGAUUCUCCCAGAAGGGGCAAAACCCUAAGGGAACAACCCGGGGUGAGGUAUAAGGUUUUCGGGAUCAAAAACCUUUUUUAUAAGGAAAAAAAAAAGGUGAAAUAAACUGGCCGCGUCUGCAGGGACCUAAAUAAAAAACCCACGCCAAACCCGGCC
rnacentral:rRNA from 1 species